rnacentral:rRNA from 1 species
UGGGGAAUAUUGCACAAUGGGCGCAAGCCUGAUGCAGCCAUGCCGCGUGUAUGAAGAAGGCCUUCGGGUUGUAAAGUACUUUCAGCGGGGAGGAAGGGAGUAAAGUUAAUACCUUUGCUCAUUGACGUUACCCGCAGAAGAAGCACCGGCUAACUCCGUGCCAGCAGCCGCGGUAAUACGGAGGGUGCAAGCGUUAAUCGGAAUUACUGGGCGUAAAGCGCACGCAGGCGGUCUGUCAAGUCGGAUGUGAAAUCCCCGGGCUCAACCUGGGAACUGCAUUCGAAACUGGCAAGCUACAGUCUUGUAGAGGGGGGUAGAAUUCCAGGUGUAGCGGUGAAAUGCGUAGAGAUCUGGAGGAAUACCGGUGGCGAAGGCGGCCCCCUGGACAAAGACUGACGCUCAGGUGCGAAAGCGUGGGGAGCAAACAGG